AUUGAACGCUGGCGGCAUGCCUUACACAUGCAAGUCGAACGGCAGCACGGGAGCAAUCCUGGUGGCGAGUGGCGAACGGGUGAGUAAUAUAUCGGAACGUGCCCAGUCGUGGGGGAUAACGCAGCGAAAGUUGUGCUAAUACCGCAUACGAUCUAUGGAUGAAAGCGGGGGAUCGCAAGACCUCGCGCGAUUGGAGCGGCCGAUAUCAGAUUAGGUUGUUGGUGAGGUAAAAGCUCACCAAGCCUGCGAUCUGUAGCUGGUCUGAGAGGACGACCAGCCACACUGGAACUGAGACACGGUCCAGACUCCUACGGGAGGCAGCAGUGGGGAAUUUGGACAAUGGACGAAAGUCUGAUCCAGCAAUGCCGCGUGCAGGACGAAGGCCCUCGGGUUGUAAACUGCUUUGUACAGAACGAAAAGUCUUUAAUAACACUAGAGGCUCAUGACGGUACUGUAAGAAUAAGCACCGGCUAACUACCG
rnacentral:rRNA from 1 species